rnacentral:tRNA from 1 species
AGUGAUAACGCCUGAAACAGUAAAGCCCCUUGCUUCGGGAGCAAGGGGCCGGAGGUUCAAAUCCUCUCAUCCCGACCA